ensembl:snRNA U2 U2 spliceosomal RNA
AUUGCUUCUCGGCCUUUUGGCUAAGAUCAAGUGUAAUGUCUGUUCUUAUCAGCUUAAUAGCUAAUGCAUCCUCUAUUUGAGGACAAUAUAUUAAAUAGAUUUUUGGAACAGGGAGAUAGAAUAGGAGCUUGCUCCAUCCACUCCACACAUCGACCUGGUAUUGUAGUACUUCCAGGAAUGGUGCACCCCCU